rnacentral:rRNA from 1 species
GUAGGUGGCAAGCGAUACUCGGAAUCACUAGGCGUAAAGCGCAGGUAGGCGGUUUGGUAAGUCUUUUGUGAAAGCUCCCGGCUCAACUGGGAGAGGUCAAGGGAAACUACCGGACUAGAGUGUGGUAGGGGAUACUGGAAUUCCUGGUGUAGCGGUGAAAUGCGUAGAUAUCAGGAGGAAUACCUAUGGCGAAAGCAGGUAUCUGGGCCAUCACUGACGCUGAGCUGCGAAAGCUAGGGGAGCAAACAGGAUUAGAUACCCUGGUAGUCCUAGCCCUAAACGAUGCUCAUUAGAUGUGGGAGGUAUCGACCCCUUCCGCGUCGCAGCUAACGCAUUAAAUGAGCCGCCUGGGGAGUACGGCCGCAAGGUUGAA